rnacentral:rRNA from 1 species
UGGUAAUGCCGGAUGCUCCAGUUGAUCGCAUGGUCUUCUGGGAAAGCUUUCGCGGUAUGGGAUGGGGUCGCGUCCUAUCAGCUUGACGGCGGGGUAACGGCCCACCGUGGCUUCGACGGGUAGCCGGCCUGAGAGGGCGACCGGCCACAUUGGGACUGAGAUACGGCCCAGACUCCUACGGGAGGCAGCAGUGGGGAAUAUUGCACAAUGGGCGCAAGCCUGAUGCAGCGACGCCGCGUGAGGGAUGGAGGCCUUCGGGUUGUAAACCUCUUUUAUCGGGGAGCAAGCGAGAGUGAGUUUACCCGUUGAAUAAGCACCGGCUAACUACGUGCCAGCAGCCGCGGUAAUACGUAGGGUGCAAGCGUUAUCCGGAAUUAUUGGGCGUAAAGGGCUCGUAGGCGGUUCGUCGCGUCCGGUGUGAAAGUCCAUCGCUUAACGGUGGAUCCGCGCCGGGUACGGGCGGGCUUGAGUGCGGUAGGGGAGACUGGAAUUCCCGGUGUAACGGUGGAAUGUGUAGAU